AUUGAACGCUGGCGGCAUGCCUUACACAUGCAAGUCGAACGGUAACGGGCCUUCGGGCGCCGACGAGUGGCGAACGGGUGAGUAAUGCAUCGGAACGUACCUUUCAGUGGGGGAUAACGUAGCGAAAGUUACGCUAAUACCGCAUAUUCUGUGAGCAGGAAAGCAGGGGAUCGCAAGACCUUGCGCUGAUUGAGCGGCCGAUGUCAGAUUAGCUAGUUGGUGAGGUAAAGGCUCACCAAGGCGACGAUCUGUAGCGGGUCUGAGAGGAUGAUCCGCCACACUGGAACUGAGACACGGUCCAGACUCCUACGGGAGGCAGCAGUGGGGAAUUUUGGACAAUGGGGGCAACCCUGAUUCAGCCAUGCCGCGUGAGUGAAGAAGGCCUUCGGGUUGUAAAGCUCUUUCGGCCGGGAAGAAAUCGUAUGGGCUAAUACCCUGUGCGGAUGACGGUACCGGCAUAAGAAGCACCGGCUAACUACGUGCCAGCAGCCGCCGUAAUAC
rnacentral:rRNA from 1 species